GACGAACGCUGGCGGCGUGCUUAACACAUGCAAGUCGAACGAGGUCCAUGGUGCUUGCACCGGAAGACCUAGUGGCGAACGGGUGAGGAACACGUGAGAAACCUGCCCUGGACUCUGGGAUAACAGUUGGAAACGACUGCUAAUACCGGAUGCCGUCACCGAGUGGCAUCACUUGGUGACGAAAGAAUUUCGGUCCAGGAGGGUCUCGCGGCCUAUCAGCUAGUUGGUGGGGUAACGGCCGACCAAGGCAUCGACGGGUAGCUGGUCUGAGAGGAUGAUCAGCCACACUGGGACUGAGACACGGCCCAGACUCCUACGGGAGGCAGCAGUGGGGAAUCUUGUGCAAUGGGCGAAAGCCUGACACAGCAACGCCGCGUGCGGGAAGAAGGCCUUCGGGUCGUAAACCGCUUUCAGCAGGAACGAAAAUGACGGUACCUGCAGAAGAAGGUGCGGCCAACUACGUGCCAGCCGCCGCCGUAA
rnacentral:rRNA from 1 species